GGAGAGGUGUCCGAGUUCGGCUUAAGGAGCACGCCUGGAAAGCGUGUAUAGUUAACGCUAUCGGAGGUUCGAAUCCUCUCCUCUCCGCCA
rnacentral:tRNA from 2 species